CGCUAUCACUCCUACGGGGAGGCAGCAGUAGGAAUCUUCCACAAUGGGCGCAAGCCUGAUGGAGCAACACCGCGUGAGUGAAGAAGGGUUUCGGCUCGUAAAGCUCUGUUGUUAAAGAAGAACACGUAUGAGAGUAACUGUUCAUACGUUGACGGUAUUUAACCAGAAAGUCACGGCUAACUACGUGCCAGCAGCCGCGGUAAUACGUAGGUGGCAAGCGUUAUCCGGAUUUAUUGGGCGUAAAGAGAGUGCAGGCGGUUUCUAAGUCUGAUGUGAAAGCCUUCGGCUUAACCGGAGAAGUGCAUCGGAAACUGGAUAACUUGAGUGCAGAAGAGGGUAGUGGAACUCCAUGUGUAGCGGUGGAAUGCGUAGAUAUAUGGAAGAACACCAGUGGCGAAGGCGGCUACCUGGUCUGCAACUGACGCUGGGACUCGAAAGCAUGGGUAGCGAACAGGAUUAGAUACCCUGGUAG
rnacentral:rRNA from 1 species